rnacentral:rRNA from 1 species
AUUGAACGCUGGCGGCAUGCCUUACACAUGCAAGUCGAACGGCAGCACGGACUUCGGUCUGGUGGCGAGUGGCGAACGGGUGAGUAAUGUAUCGGAACGUACCUUUCAGUGGGGGAUAACGUAGCGAAAGUUACGCUAAUACCGCAUAUUCUGUGAGCAGGAAAGCAGGGGAUCGAAAGACCUUGCGCUGAUUGAGCGGCCGAUAUCAGAUUAGCUAGUUGGUGGGGUAAAGGCCUACCAAGGCGACGAUCUGUAGCGGGUCUGAGAGGUUGAUCCGCCACACUGAGAAUUAGGCACGGUGCAGACCCCCACGGGGGGCAGCAGGGGGGAUUUGUGAAGAAGGGUGGCAAUCCGGAAAGAGCAUGGGGGCGUGAGGAAAGAGGGUAUUCGAAUUGGAAAGCUGUUUCAGCAGGGAAGAAAACGAGCAAGCGAAUCCCCGGUGUCGAUGACCGUCGAGAAAUGAGAAACACCGGACAAGGAGGGG